UGAGUACGAGAUGCUACGGCAUCGAAGCAGUCUAUGUCAUACUUCCAAGAAAAGCUUGCAAUGUCAUAAACAAAUAAUGCCUGUACCAUAACCGACACAGGUGGGUAGGUAGAGUAUACUAAGGGGCGCGAGAUAACUCUCUCUAAGGAACUCGGCAAAAUGACUCCGUAACUUCGGGAGAAGGAGUGCCUUAUUUUUAUAAGGUUGCAAUAACAAGAUCCAAGCAACUGUUUACCAGAAACACAGGUCUCCGCUAAGUCGUAAGACGAUGUAUGGGGGCUGACGCCUGCCCAGUGCCAGAAGGUUAAAGAAGUUGGUUAGCAUUAGCGAAGCUGAUAACUGAAGCCCUGGUGAACGGCGGCCGUAACGAUAACGGUCCUAAGGUAGCGAAAUUCCUUGUCGGGUAAGUUCCGACCCGCACGAAAGGCGUAAUGAUUUGGAUACUGUCUCGGAGAGGGGCUCGGUGAAAUAGACUUGUCUGUGAAGAUGCGGACUACCUGCACCUGGACAGAAAGACCCUAUGAAGCUUUACUGUAACUUGAGAUUGAAAUUGGACUUUAUCUGCGCAGUAUAGGUGGGAGACGUUGAAAAUAUUCUUGCGGGAAUAUUGGAGUCAUCAGUGAGAUACCACUCUUAUAAUGUUAGAUUUCUAACUUUGUAUCAUUAUCUGGUCAAAGAACAGUUUCAGGCGGGCAGUUUGACUGGGGCGGUCGCCUCCCAAACGGUAACGGAGGCGCACAAAGGUUUCCUCUGAACGUGUAGAAAUCGUAUCUAGAGUGUAAAGGCAUAAGGAAGCUUGACUGUGAGACCUACAAGUCGAGCAGGGACGAAAGUCGGUCUUAGUGAUCUGACGGUGCUGAGUGGAAAGGCCGUCACUCAACGGAUAAAAGUUACUCUAGGAUAACAGGCUGAUCUCCCCCAAGAGUUCACAUCGACGGGGAGGUUUGGCACCUCGAUGUCGGCUCAUCGCAUCCUGGGGCGGUAGUACGUCCCAAGGGUUGGGCUGUUCGCCCAUGAAAGCGGUACGCGAGCUGGGUUCAGAACGUCGUGAGACAGUUCGGUCCAUAUCCGGUGUAGGCGUUAGAAUAUUGAGAGGAGCCUUCUUUAGUACGAGAGGACCGAGAAGGACAUACCUCUGGUGUACCAGUUAUCGUGCCAACGGUAAACGCUGGGUAGCCAUGUAUGGAGAGGAUAACCGCUGAAAGCAUCUAAGUGGGAAGCCCACCUCAAGAUAAGUAUUCUCA
rnacentral:rRNA from 1 species